CCAAUAGCGUAUAUUAAAGUUGUUGCAGUUAAAAAGCUCGUAGUUGAAUUUCGAGACCGGUUUACUGGUCGUGCUCUUGUACGUACUGGUAUAAUCGGUUUCUCUCUUCUGACGAACUAUAAUGCCAUUAAUUUGGUUGUUAUAGAGAAUCAGGACUGUUACUUUGAAAAAAUUAGAGUGUUUAAAGCAGGCUCACGCUUGAAUACAUUAGCAUGGAAUAACGAAAUAGGACGUUUGAUUCUAUUUUGUUGGUUUCUAGGAUCGACGUAAUGAUUAAUAGGGAUAGUUGGGGGCAUUAGUAUUCAAUUGUCAGAGGUGAAAUUCUUGGAUUUAUUGAAGACUAACUACUGCGAAAGCAUUUGCCAAGGAUGUUUUCAUUAAUCAAGAACGAAAGUUAGGGGAUCGAAGACGAUCAGAUACCGUCGUAGUCUUAACCAUAAACUAUGCCGACUAGGGAUCGGAUGAUGUUAAUAUUAAUGACUCAUUCGGCACCUUACG
rnacentral:rRNA from 1 species